GAUGAACGCUGGCGGCGUGCCUAAUACAUGCAAGUCGAGCGAACAGACGAGGAGCUUGCUCCUCUGACGUUAGCGGCGGACGGGUGAGUAACACGUGGAUAACCUACCUAUAAGACUGGGAUAACUUCGGGAAACCGGAGCUAAUACCGUAUAAUAUAUUGAACCGCAUGGUUCGAUAGUGAAAGACGGUUUUGCUGUCUCUUAUAGAUGGAUCCCCGCCGCAUUAGCUAGUUGUUAAGGUAACGGCUUACCACGGCAACGAUGCGUAGCCGACCUGAGAGGGUGAUCGGCCACACUGGAACUGAGACACGGUCCAGACUCCUACGGGAGGCAGCAGUAGGGAAUCUUCCGCAAUGGGCGAAAGCUUGACGGAGCAACGCCGCGUGAGUGAUGAAGGUCUUCGGAUCGUAAAACUCUGUUAUUAGGGAAGAACCAAUGUGUAAGUAACUAUGCACGUCUUGACGGUACCUAAUCAGAAAGCCACGGCUAACUACGUG
rnacentral:rRNA from 1 species